UGAACACGGCAUCCACUGUUUCCCAAUUCUGUUAUAACCCACAGAUCAUCGGUUUCCCUCCCAACUUCCUUGCUUUCUGAGGAGAAUGACUGGACCGAUCACAUCUUUCGAGAUGGCAAACGACGAAGCGCGAUGAAGUACAGAUAACUCAGACUGUAGUCUUCGUUUUAAUCCCUCUUUUGGCUGGAACGCCCUUUCGGGUUUUCAAUCCACCGGGAUACCCAUUUUUUCCUAAGCCGCCCUUGCGGGUUUUCGACUUACCGGG
rnacentral:lncRNA from 1 species